rnacentral:misc_RNA from 1 species
GGCAAUCCAACUUGAUCUGUCACAGCUGAGACCUUGAUGCUCCUUCCAGCAAUUUCCAGUUGUCCAUUCAAACUUAAAGCCGCUCUUGCAUCCUCAAGGCGAGCAAAUUGAACAAAACCAUAUCCUUUGCAAUGCCCAGUUUCUAGCUCACGGGGCAACUGAACCAGCUCCACUUGACCAAAUGGUUCAAGCACCAAUCGAAGUUGCUCCUCGGUGAUGUUGAAGUGAAGAUUACCAAUGUACAAUCUUCUAGCUCCACCUGAAUAAGGACCGACAAG